rnacentral:sRNA from 1 species
GGUUUAUCACCGCUCGUCAGAAGCCGAAACUAGUGCAUGUUGAAAACUACAUGACCGAUGGAAUGCUAGAAGUCACAGUGCCAGGACAACCGAAGUUAUCAGUUGAUCUUAGGAAA